AGCGAACGCUGGCGGCAGGCUUAACACAUGCAAGUCGAGCGGGCAUCCUUGUGGUGUCAGCGGCAGACGGGUGAGUAACGCGUGGGAACGUGCCCUUCGGUUCGGAAUAACUCAGGGAAACUUGAGCUAAUACCGGAUACGUGCGAGAGCAGAAAGGUUUAUCUGCCGAAGGAUCGGCCCGCGUCUGAUUAGCUAGUUGGUGAGGUUACGGCUCACCAAGGCGACGAUCAGUAGCUGGUCUGAGAGGAUGAUCAGCCACACUGGGACUGAGACACGGCCCAGACUCCUACGGGAAGCAGCAGUGGGGAAUAUUGGACAGUGGGGGCAACCCUGAUCCAGCCAUGCCGCGUGAGUGAUGACGGCCUUAGGGUUGUAAAGCUCUUUUCUCCGGGACGAUAAUGACGGUACCGGAGGAAUAAGCCCCGGCUAACUUCGUG
rnacentral:rRNA from 1 species